UCGUUCGAAUAGGGCGGUACCUUGACGGUACCUAACCAGAAAGCCACGGCUAACUACGUGCCAGCAGCCGCGGUAAUACGUAGGUGGCAAGCGUUAUCCGGAAUUAUUGGGCGUAAAGCGCGCGCAGGCGGUCCUUUAAGUCUGAUGUGAAAGCCCACGGCUCAACCGUGGAGGGUCAUUGGAAACUGGGGGACUUGAGUGCAGAAGAGGAGAGCGGAAUUCCACGUGUANCGGUGAAAUGCGUAAGAUGUGGAGGAACACCAGUGGCGAAGGCGGCAUCUCUGGUCUGUAACUGACGCUGAGGCGCGAAAGCGUGGGGAGCGAACAGGAUUAGAUACCCUGGUAGUCCACGCCGUAAACGAUGAGUGCUAAGUGUUAGAGGGUUUACCGCCCUUUAGUGCUGCAGCAAACGCAUUAACGCACUCCGCCUGGGGAGUA
rnacentral:rRNA from 1 species